GAUGAACGCUGGCGGCGUGCCUAACACAUGCAAGUCGAGCGAUUCUCUUCGGAGAAGAGCGGCGGACGGGUGAGUAACGCGUGGGUAACCUGCCCUGUACACACGGAUAACAUACCGAAAGGUAUGCUAAUACGAGAUAAUAUGCUUUUAUCGCAUGGUAGAAGUAUCAAAGCUUUUGCGGUACAGGAUGGACCCGCGUCUGAUUAGCUAGUUGGUAAGGUAACGGCUUACCAAGGCGACGAUCAGUAGCCGACCUGAGAGGGUGAUCGGCCACAUUGGAACUGAGACACGGUCCAAACUCCUACGGGAGGCAGCAGUGGGGAAUAUUGCACAAUGGGCGAAAGCCUGAUGCAGCAACGCCGCGUGAGCGAUGAAGGCCUUCGGGUCGUAAAGCUCUGUCCUCAAGGAAGAUAAUGACGGUACUUGAGGAGGAAGCCCCGGCUAACUACGUGCCAGCAGCCGGGUAAAACCCUCGUCUCUA
rnacentral:rRNA from 1 species